rnacentral:lncRNA from 1 species
GGUGACAGAUGGUAACUAGACCGAUGGUGAGCAUUUGGUAAUGUAUAAAAAUAUCAAAUCACUAUGUGUACAUCUGAAACAAACACAAUAUUGUAAAUAAACAAUACCUCAAUAAAAAAAUUUAAAGUAAUAAACCUAAAAAUACUAAAUUAAAAGGAUACAUGCACCCCCAUGUUCACUGAAGCCUUAUUUACAAUAGCCAAGACAUGGAAACAAGGUAAGUGUCCACUGACAGAUGAAUGGAUAAAGAAAGUGUGGAUUUGUGUGUGUGUAUACACACACACACACACACACACAAAUAUUAUUCAGCCAUAAAAAUAGAAUGAAAUCUUGCCAUUUGUGACUAUAUAUAUGGAAAUCGAAGGCAUUAUGCUAAGUGAAAUAAGUCAGACAGAGAAAGACAAAUAGCAUAUGAUCUCACUUAUAUAUGAAAUCUAAAAAAAAUACAAAACCAAAAACACCUUUUUUUUUUUUUGGUCUUUUUGCCAUUUCUUGGGCCGCUCCCACAGCAUAUGGAGGUUCCCAGGCUAGGGGUCGAAUCAGAGCUGUAGCCACCGGCCUACGCCACACAACAUGAUCUGAGCUGCAUCUGCGACCUACACCACAGCUCACGGCAACGUCGGAUCCUUAACUCACUGAGCAAGGCCAGGGAUCGAACCCGCAAUCUCAUGGUUCCUAGUCAGAUUUGUUAACCACUGAGCCACGACAGGAACUCCAGAAACAACUUAACUCAUAGAUAGAACAGAUUGGUGGUUGCCAGAGAUGCCAGAGGUAGGGGCAAAAUGUGUAAAAGGGGUCAAAAGACACAAAUUUUCAGUUAUAGAAUAGAUAAGGGAUAUAAUGUAUAGCAUGACGACUAUAGUUAAUAACACUGUACUGAAUAUUUGAAAGUUGCUGAGAGAGUAGAUUUUUUUUUUUGUCUUUCUAGGGCCAUACUCUUGGCAUAUGGAGGUUCGCAGGCCAGGGGUUGAAUCGGAGCUGUAGUCGCUGGCCUAUGGUACAGCCACAGCAACAUCAGAUCCGAGUCACGUCUGUGACCUACACCACAGCUCACGGCAACAACGGAUCCUUAACCCACUGAGUGAGGCCAGGGAUCGAACCUGCAUCCUCAUGGAUGUAGUCAGAUUCAUUUCCACUGAGCCAUGAUGGGAACUCUGAGAGCAGAUCUUAAAAGUGCUCAUCUUAAAAAAAAAAAAAGUGCGUCUAACUGUGCAGUGACAGAUGUUAACUUGUUUUGGUUAUCAUUUCACAAUAUAUAUAAAUAUCAAAAACACUGUAUACCUGAAAUUAAUAUAAUGUUAUACAUCAAUUAUACCUCAAUUAAAACAAACAGGAAAAGAAAAGUCUAGAGUUGUAGUUGGUUUGUUCCCCUGCACAGCUCUGGAGUGACCUAUGGGUUUUGCCUCUGGGUACUUGCAUGUGCUUUGUCCUCUGACUAGGUAGCCAUUCUACCCUUUUGGCCCAAUUAAUAUCCCUUCCUCGUUCACAGUUCAGCUUUAAUGUCACCUCCUCAGGGAAGUCUUCCCUGAUUUUGCAGACUAGCUUCAAUCCCCCUGUCAAUGUCCUUACAUCAUUCAUUCAUGUUUUUUUUCCUUCACUUAAACAUUCAAAUACUUGUCCAACAAACAUCCACAGAGCACCUUCCCUGCUCUGGGAUUUGUUCCAGACACUGGGGACACAGCCCCUGUUUUCAUGGAGCUCAUCAUUUGGGGAUCAUUCAAUAAACAAAUAAACAGACAACAUAACUUCAGAUUGAUACGCGUAUGAAGUAAACAAACAGGGUGACAUGGUAAGAGAGUGCCUGGUGGGGGCUUCUCUGAGGAGGUGAUGUUUGAAUCAAUAUUUUUUUGGGGCGGGUGUACCACACUCACGGCAUAUGGAAAUUCCCAGGCUAGGGGUCAAAUAGGAGCCACAGCUGCCGGCCUAUACCACAGAGGCAGCAACUCAGGAUCCGAGCCUUGUCUGCAACCUACACCACAGCUCAUGGCAACACCAGAUCCUUAACCCACUGAGGAAGCCCAGGGAUCAAACCCAUGUCCUCACGGAUACUAGUCGGAUUCAUUACUGCUGAGCCACGACGGAAACUCCUGAAUCAAUAUUCACAUCAAGAAGGAGCCAGUCAUAGGAAGAUCUGGAAAAGAUGAGGGAGAGGGAGCAGCAAGUGCAAAGGCCUUGGGGCAGGAACAUACCCAGCAUAACUGAGAAACAGCCAGGAGGCCACUGCGGCUGGAAGCACAUGGGGAAAAGUGAGCUCAGAAACUUAAGGCGGUGGCAGGUUGUGCAGGGCCUUGAGGCCACACUAAGUCUCAGCUCUCAUCGCUAUUUGCAGUUCUGCUUUUUCACCACUAUUGGAGUGGCGUUUUGCUUUUGAUUGUGAGUUCCCCGAGGGGGCAGCCAUGUCCCUUCUGAACCCCAAGUAUCUGUCGAUAUGACUCAUAGUACAUGUAGUUCUCAGGCCAGGGACCCCAGAAGCAAGAAUUCUCACUGUUUGGGAGGUGAUCCCAGGAAGUAAGAAAAUGGGGACAUGAGACAGAGAAGAGAAGGCAGCUGAUGCAGGGUACCUUUUUGAGCUCCCACUGGGGAGCACUGGGACCAGUGUAGGACAUGCCUGCAAAGUAUUCCCACCCAAGGGGUGGGAAUGUUUUGUUUGUUUGUUUGUUUUUUGUCUUUUGUCCUUUUAGGGCUGCACCUGUGGCAUAUGGAGGUUCCCAGGCUAGGGGUCUAAUAGGAGCUGUUGCUCCUGGCCUAUGCCAGAGCCACAGCAAUGCAGGAUCCAAGCUGCAUCUGCGACCUACACCAGAGCUCACAGCAAUGCCGGAUCCUCAACCCACUGAGCGAGGCUAGGGAUCCAACCCGAAACCUUAUGGUUCCUAGUCGGAUUCAUUUCUGCUGCGCCACGACGGGAACUCCUGGAAAUGGGUUUUUAAUCACCAGCUCCCAUGUCGCUGGUUGAGGGCUGCUGCCAGGGCACCAACUCACAGGCACUUCAGGCCUGUCCUGCAUGGGCUUAAUAGGCUCUGGUGGCCAGAAGGAGCCCUCAGCAAAGAGGAGCCAUUGGACAGUGAGCAGGAGGGCACAGUGUCUAUUUCAGUAAACAAAUAACAGCUGACCAAUAGAAUAGCCCAGAAGGAAGUGCCUCUGAACACAUUAGCAUGGGCACCACUUCCUCUUGAAUUUUCAGUGAAUCCCCAGAGUGCCUCAGGGGUUAGCUUUUGCUCCAGUCUCUUGGUUUUUGUGUGGCCAGGAUGGAAGUUUCUGGAAGGCUGCCCUGCCAUCCAAGGAGGCCGGGGCUCACCACAUCCUGGGAAACUGGAGAGGAGAAAUCUGGAUUUUUCUCUAGGAAGCAGUUUCCUCAACAGUCCUGAACAAGGCUUUAUCAGCGUUCAGCUGUCUACUCGGGCAGGCAGCCCUGACGGUGUGGGCUGUGCAUUCCAGG